CAAAAAAACAACCAACUCAGUGAAAAAGAACUAGAUAGACAAACUGCUGGAAGAAAAUAAUUCAUCUGACAGCAAAGAUGCAGUGGAGUCUGAUUCUGCUCUUCCUGAUGGGUCAGUGUUGCUUCAUGGACUGUCAGCUCUAUCAGUUUCACUACAUUAAUGAGAAUAAGACCUGGACUGAAGCUCAGCAGUACUGCAGAGAGAAACACACUGACCUGGUCACAGUGACUAACAUGAAGGACAUGAAGAGACUCAUCAACAUCUCAACUGGAGAAAUGAAGGAAGCUUGGAUUGGUCUGUAUGAUCAAACACAUGGUACCAGAACUUGGUACUGGUCUCUGAUUGGAGUGAAGUUCAAUGAAAGUGAGACAAAGUGGAACGAUAACGAACCAUCUGAUAGAGGAAUUCAAGGUUCUGAAAACUGUGGGGCUGUGCAUCAAAAUCUCACAUGGCGAGAUCAGGGCUGCAAGUGGCCUGAAUAUUUCCUCUGCUAUG